GUUCGAUCUGAAGCCAGAUUGAACGCUGGCGGGAUGCUACACAUGCAAGUCGAACGGCAGCACGGACUUCGGUCUGGUGGCGAGUGGCGAACGGGUGAGUAAUGUAUCGGAACGUGCCUAGUAGCGGGGGAUAACUACGCGAAAGCGUAGCUAAUACCGCAUACGCCCUUCGGGGGAAAGCGGGGGACCUUCGGGCCUCGCACUAUUAGAGCAGCCGAUAUCGGAUUAGCUAGUUGGUGGGGGCCAACGGCUCACAAGGCGGGCGAUCCCGUAGCUGGUUUGGGGAGACGACCAGCCACACUGGGACUGAGACACGGCCCAGACUCCUACGAGGCAGCAGUGAAAUUUUUGGACAAUGGGGAAACCUGAUCCAGCCAUCGCGGUAUUGCGAUGAAGGCCUUCGGGUUGUAAAGCACUUUUGGCAGGAAAGAAACGGCACGGGAUAUUACCCCGUGCAACUGACAGUACCUGCAGAAUAAGCACCGGCUAACUUCGUACUUGUAGCCGCGGUAAUACGUAGGGUGCAAGCGUUAAUCGGAAUUACUGGGCGUAAAGCGUGCGCAGGCGGUUCGGAAAGAAAGAUGUGAAAUCCCAGAGCUUAACUUUGGAACUGCAUUUUUUACAACUACCGAGCUAGAGUGUGUCGGGAGGUGGAAUUCCGCGUGUAGCAGUGAAAUGCGUAGAUAUGCGGAAGACUUUUAAACUGGCGAAGGCAGCCUCCUGGGAUAUACUAGCGGCUCGUACUGGCAAUGGGAGCAAACAGGAUUGAUACCUGGUAGUCCACGCCCUAAACAGUCGUAACUAAAGCUGUUGGGGCCCUUCGGGCCUUGGUAGCGCAGCUAACGCGUAGAGUUGACCGCCUGUGGUCAUAAGAUUAAAACUCAAAGGAAUUGACGGGGACUACACAAAGCUGGUGGAUGAUGUGGAUUAAUUCCAAGUGCAACGCGAAAAACCUUACCUACCCUUGACGGCAUAUCUGGAAUCCCGAAGGGUGGGAGUGCUCGCAAACGGAACACAGGUGCUGCAUGGCUGUCGUCAGCUCGUGUCUGUGAGAUGUUGGGUUAAGUCCCGCAACGAGCACAACCCUUGUCAUUAGUUGCUACGAAAGGGCACUCUAAUGAGACUGCCGGUGACAAACCGGAGGAAGGUGGGGAUGACGUCAAGUCUCAUGGCCCUUAUGGGUGGGCUUACACGUCAUACAAUGGUCGGGACAGGAAGAGAUUCGCCAACCCGCGAGGGAACCAAUCCCAGAAACCCGAUCGGAGUCCGGAUCGCAGUCUGCAACUCGACUGCGUGAAGUCGGAAUCGCUAGUAAUCGCGGAUGGCAUCAUCGCCCGGUAGACCACGUUC
rnacentral:rRNA from 1 species